ACAUGUUUCUGGCUGGGGGGGUGAGGACCGACAUGAAGGAACCCUGGACAAUAACUGAAACUGCCUGUGUGACAGCAUAGAGAAGGUCACGUGAGCCUGAUCUGCUGCUGGGCGAUGAGCGGGAGAAGCAGCUAGCGGAUCUCUGUUCGGCCAAUAGAAGCCGCGCGCGCGGGCCCCUGGGGCCGCAGCGCCCCUAGUGGGGGUAGGCAGCCCGGCCAGGCGCCUUGCCCUGCUGCCGCCGGCAGCCCGCCGGCCUCUCCAGGAGGGGCAGGUGGGGCUGCGCCCGCCCCCAGGGCACCUCGGGACCUCGAACAGGAGCCCGGCCCUGCCUGUAGAGCUCAUCACAGAUGCUGGAGUUAGGGAUGCGGGGGGGUCCUGUAGCACCCCCUGAGUUAAAGUGGUUUCCAUUGGAUAGAGGGUUUAUAGAGUGGUCCAGUGGCUCUCAGCCUGCCCCCCCCCCCCCCCAUAAAAACUGUGCCAGCAGCCCUGGUAGAGCUGGCUGGCGCUCGCCGUGGGCAGGGCCCACUUUACCAAGCCCCGAGGGCAGAUGAAGGAGCUGUGCUAGCUGCACACAUGGAUUUCUGCACCAGCGAGGCGCCUGGGUCUUAAAUAAAAAGCUCUUGUGCUUGUGGAGAAACCCUCGCAAGUGCGACCCAUUCCGCGGUGUGGCCUCCCAGACAACCCCCCUGCCGCGCCUGCUGUCCACAGCUAGAGCUGAAAUAGAAAUAGGGCAAUUAUUUUUGUGAGAAUCCUUGUUUUUUCUUGUCUGCGUCUUCGUGCGAAAGAGCCCACCCGUUUGGGAUCCACGUACUUGUUCUCCAGACAGGGCUCCUGGCUGAAAUUGGUGACUGACUUUAUUUGAGUGUUGAAACCAAAUGCAGAAGUCGUCUCUCUGUUGUGGCUUUCCACAAUAGUAUGGCUCUCCGUCAUGCAGUCGUGCAGAAUGCUCGGAGUGGUGCUUCUUUCACAUGUCUCUCUGCUGCCGCAUCGGCAAAGGAAGAGGAGUAGGGAAGAGGGAGAAGUUUGUAAUUGCAGCCUGAGAAAGUGCAACAGUACAUUCAGCUACCUUAAGCAUUUCUGUACAGACACCAAAUCCCUUUCCAUGACAUGCUACAAGCUCCUUGUUUUUUGUUUUAUACAAUAUAUGUUAAAAUAUAAGAAAACAGGAGUGGAGUCAAGAACAUCUUUACUGUAGUCCUAGCAGGUUGCUUAUGGCAACAAAAUGUUAGAGGUCCUAAAAGCUAGAGUCACAAGAGUACUUAGUGUUGUAAUGCCUAAUUUGUAGGCACCCUGUGAUUAGAGUAAUUCUGUACCCUGAGUUAGAUGCCCAGAUUCCCCAUUAAUUGUAUAGGGAGAGAUAGGGCACUAGGAAAUGGAUUCUCCAAAGCCAGUAAACUGAGCACAGAGCCACCUAAGCUACCCAGAAGUGAAAUGCAGAAGAAAGGGGUGGGGCUUAGGCCAGAUCCUCAAAGGUAAUUAAGCACCUAACUCCCAUUGAUCUGGGCCUUAGGCGCUUGACAGGCUGGAGGCAGGCAUCUCUCUCUGUGUGGGAUUCUCAAGUGUGAACCUUCUCCUGGAGUUAGGUGUCUAGGCUGAUGGGAGAGGAGAGGAGGGAGAGAGAGAGAGAGAGAGAGACUGACCUCACCCCAUUAUAGCCAAUAGCCUACUGGUUAGUGCAUGAGGGCUGCAGGAGAACCAGAAUCCCUGCUCUGCCUAAAUUGGACUUGCACCUAAGUCUCUGCUCUGAAUCAGACAAAGCAAUUAUUUGAAUCUGGGUCAUCCACAACCCAGGUGAGUGCACUAAUGAUUGAGUUAUUGAGGUAUUCUGGGUUGGACAUACACACACUCUACCCAUGCACCCCUGAAAAAUUCCCAACCUACUCACUCCUGGUUGUCUUUUGUGCAGGUUAGGCAUGCUCUGCAUACACCGAAUGGCUCAGGCCCCACUGGAGAGAAACGCAGGGGAAUGCCAAAGAAUCCCACCAGGGCUUUAGCUUCACUAAGGGCUUCAAGCAGCUCAUUAGCAUCUGGACUUAAAUGGCAGAAAUUUAGGUGCUGGGGAUUUAGGUGCUUACAGGGUUAGAUGGCAACUGAGCGGGGGUUUUGAGAAUGGCAGUGGUGCCUAAACAGAAUGCCACUAACCAUCACCUACAGCCCCCAACUAAAAUCUCUCCAGCGCAUCAUCAAGGAUCUACAACCUAUCCUGAAGGUCAGUCCCUCACUCUCACAGACCUUGGGAGACAGGCCAGUCCUUGCUUACAGACCGCCCCCCAACCUGAAGCAAAUACUCACCAGCAACUACACACCACUCAACUAAACACUAACCCAGGAACCAAUCCCUGUAAUAAACGCCUGUGAUAUUACACUCUAUAUGAUUAUAUGUAAAUAUGGUCAUGAGUGUGAAUAUAAUGUAACUGUAAUAUGCUUCAUGCAAAAGGUCUCUUGUAAGGUAUCAUUACAAAGCUUAUAAUCUAUUGAGCAUGGGCAUCCAAUCUGUAUAAAUGUAUCGUUCUUAUAUCUGAAACGAGAAAUAUGAAAUAUAACUCUAAGGUCCUAUUGUAAUUAUGCAAAGUGUGGGCCAUUAAUGGUGGCUUGAAAUCUUGAUGGCUCCCAUUAACCAGGACAAUUGGUUGUAAAUGGCUUUGUUUACUUGUAAGCCUUCCUGUAUACUGUGUGCUGGCAAGUGGGUAAUUAAGUCUUACAGUGACGUGACUGUAUCACCGAAACUGAAAUCCAUCUUUAACCUGGUACUUUUCCAUUAAGAAGGAGGGGUGAGAACCCAGAGAGGGACAAAGAAUUCCCUCCUUGUGCAACUGGUAUGUAAGGGGGUGGAACAGAACAAAGGGGGCUGCAGUCAUGAGAAAUCCCCUAGUUACCACUGAGCUGGAACAAGAACUGUACUGGGGAAAGGAUUGGGCCCAGGCUAGAAAGGAGUCUAGUCUGUGAAAGAAGCUUAUUGGAACAUCUCUCAGGGUGAGGUUUCAUCUGUAAUCAGUUUCUUACUGUAUUAGACUUAGACUCGUGUGUUUUUGUUUUAUUUUGCUUGGUAAUUUACUUUGUUCUGGCUGUUAUUACUUGGAACCACUUAAAUCCUACUUUUUAUAUUUAAUAAAAAUCACUUUUUGCUCACUGAUUAAGUCAGAGCAAGUAAUUGAUUCCUGGGGGAGCAAACAGCUGUGCAUAUCUCUCUAUCAGUGUUAAAGAGGGCGGACAAUUUAUGAGUUUACCCUGUCUCAGCUUUAUACAGAGUAAAACAGAUAUAUUUGCGGUUUGGAUCCCAUUGGGAACUGAGUGUCUGGGUGCUAGAGACAGGAGCACUUCUCAAGCUGUUUUCAGUUAAGCCUGCAGCUUUUGGGGGACGUGGUUCAGACCUGGGUCUGUGUUUGCAGCAAGCUAGCAUGUCUGGCUCAACAAGACAGGAUACUGAAGUCCCAGGAUACUGAAGGGAAAACGGGCUCAGAGGUAGUCUCAGCACAUCAGGUGGCAGUCCCAAGGGGUUUCUGUGACCCAACCCGUCACAACCCCAUUGCCAACUCUGUCCGCAUAUCUAUUCAACGGACACCAUCAUAGGACCUAACGACAUCAGCCACACCAUCGGACUCCUUCACCUGCACAUCUACCAAUGUGAUAUAUGCCAUCAUGUGCCAGCAAUGCCCCUUUGCCAUAUACAGUGGCCAAAAUGGACAGUUUACGCAAAAGAAUAAAUGGACACUAUUCAGACAUCAAGAAAUGUAACAUUCAAAAACCAGUAGGAGAGCACUUCAAUCUCCCUGAACACUCAAUAACAGACUUAAAAGUGGCUAUUCUUCAACAAAAAAAAACCUUCAAAAACUGACUUCCGCGAGAAACUGCAGAACUGGAAUUAAUUUGCAAACUUGACACCAUCAAAUUAGGCCUGCUUAACGACUGGGAGUGGCUGGGUCACUACAAAAAAUAAUUUUCCCUCUGUUUAUACUCACACCUUCUUGUUAACUGUUGCGAAUGGGCCACAUCCACAUGAUUGAAUUGGCCUUGUUAGCACUGAUCCCUCACUUGGAAAGGCAACUCCCAUCUUUUCAUGUGCUGUAUAUUUAUACCUGCUUACUGUAUUUUUCACUCCAUGGAUCUGAUGAAGUGGGUUCUAGCCCAUGAAAGCUUAUGCCCAAAUAAAUUUGUUAGUUUCUAAGAUGCCACAAGGACUCCUCAUUGUUUUCCAACUUAGCAACUUAGUUGCUUUAUUGUGAAAGUGAUUGUGGUCUGUGAGGAGACUGGAUAGAUAUUUGCCUCUCUGGUCAGGGCAGCAGGAGCCACAGAGCUGUCUCUGAGUCCAUUACAUAGAUCUCAGGAUAGUAAGUCCAGCCUUCUGACUCCUUAUUUUGACCCCUCUCUUCACCAUGGGCAAUAUGUUCUUUUGUUAUGUAUUGAAUCUGUGGGGUUUGUCAGUGCACACUAGGUGGCAGUCUUUAUCUUACAUUUCUCAUGUCAACUAACUGCUAAUGAGCAUUUUCCGGCAUACUAAAAAUGACUAAUCUGCUCAGGCUGUAAAACAGCAGGGAACCAAGGGAGACCAUCUCUGCCAGUAAUCUUACUGCCUCUACAAAGGUUUAAUUUAGAGCUGCAGUUAACUGUUCACUAAAUAGCCAAACUGGCAAAUAAGCUGCAAAUGAAUGGAGGGGCCUCCUUGUAGUCAUUAUCUGCCCUGUUUUGUGACACCUCCAGUAUGUUCUUUAUCCCAUUGCUGGUAAAAGAUUCUGAACACACUUUUGCCUACCACUUUUAGAUGUCAUCAGGCUCCAUUACUGUAGACUCACUUAAACUAAGUCCUUACAGUAUCUUCUCCCAUAAACACACAGCACCUUCAUUUUCCUGUGGCUGGUUAGGGAUAAUACAAACGGCAUCUUACUAUGGCUGGUUCGGGAUAGUACACAGGGCCUGUAAAAUAAAUGCCUUUAAAAGUUGGCCUUUCUAGAAUUUUAAAAUUAAAAAUAGUUCCUGUAGAAGGAGGAAUAGCACCUAGGAGCUUUGCAUUAUGUUGUAAAAACAUAAUUCUAUAUAUUUUCCAAAUGACUAUUAUUUGAGCAAUGGGGGCGAGGGGGGACAAAAAUAGCCCAAGACAGAUGGGACUAUCAGCAAACAGCACUCAUUUUGUGAUGCAUGUAUUUAUUGUAUAACUGCAAAUCCCUUCUUCCUAAUCAUGAGGUCUCAGUUUGAUAUGCAGAGCUCUAAUUUGUAUAUGCAUUUCUGUGAAUUGUGCAACUUUCCACUGAUGAGCCUAAUUCAGACAAAAUUAUCUAUCCUUGGCUUCUCAAGUUGAGUAAGUCCCAGAAUAUGAUGGAUCCUGGCUCUGCCACAGAUGGACAUAUUCGAAAGGAAGGUCAGCCUGUACAGAAGUCCAAUACCUCCAUGCCAAUAAGCUGUGAAGUAAUAAUUGACCAGGAAAAAAAGAAUACAUGAAAAAGAUUAUGCACAUGAACUUUCCAUUUCCUGUAUUGUUCAUUCCUGAUUCUUUUUUAAGCCCCCAUGUGCAGCUACACAGGAAACAGGAGGUACUCCAGUUACAGGCUGAAAUAACUUCCCUGAAUGGUGCAAGUGAAGAAAACAAAGAAAGAAAAUUCCCCCCUUUAAACAGCCCUUCAUAUUUUCUCAAAAAACUAUUCAUUACAGUAAGGGGAGACAGUAAUAAUACUUAAUUCAUAAGGGUAUAAUGGGGAUUAAUUAAUGUUAGCAAGGUUCUUUGUGGAUGAAAAGUUUAAGUAUUAUCAUCAUUAGUACAUUUGACCUUAUUCAGAACAUACAAGGGAAAGUAAUGUUUGUCUGAUGGAGGAGCAUAAAAUCAGUAAUGGAAUAAAUAUUAGUUGCAAUCUUAUAAAUUUGAAUUACAAGAAAUGGGGAGGGGAGAUGUAGCCAUUAUGAUAGUGUGCUGUGUAAAUAUUAUACUCAAAAGGUGUCUAGCCCCACCUUUAAGAUUUUAUUUAAUUUCAGUUGUGAGGUCAAUAAGAGAAGGUGACUAUUUUCAGUAUCUACUUUUGUGUCUACUUCCAUAUUUCCACCCUCUAUUGCUGAUCUUGGUAACUAACUGUAAACCUUUGGGUGCCAAGUGUAGUGCUGACAUGCAGGCAAGUUUCCUUAGGGCCAAAACUUUUUUCCCCCCUAUUCUAGUGACAGGACACUCCAGCCCAUAUCCUCUGGAUGCUGAUGUGAGUGAUACAUACUAUAUAACCUUAGGCCUAAAUUGUGCUGAUAGUAGCCACUUUGUCUGCCGGCCCAUGAAAAUGCCAUUGGCUUCUUGAGCCCUAUAGAUGUGGAAGCUAAUAUCUACCUAACGGCUAAUAUCCAAACUUUCCUUUUCUGGUGAUGCAGAAUGCUCAGUCAGGCAUUUCAUUUUGCCUCCUUACCCCUUGAUUCUGCUGUGCCUUGUUUCUAGAUCUGAUUGAACACUUGGAAGAGACAUUGGGAAACUCCCUGAUGCCCUGCAUAAAUGUUAGAAAAGAAUUUUUGACAGGCAACAAUCCAAGGAUCUUACCUGAAUGGCAACACCAAUCCAAAGGUCAGCUAGGGAAUAGCAAGAAAGGGCCAUGAAUACGUCACAAAUGAAGAUCCCUCACCUCUCUCUCUCUCUCUCACACACACACACUCUCUCUCUCUCUCUCUCUCACUUACUUCCCUCCCCCUCCAAAUGCACUGAAGUUUCACAGAGUACCAUACUUUGGAAAUCUGGGGAAAGAAAGCCUCUCAGGGCUCUACUCCCAGGUAAUGUUUAUUGAAAACAGAAGAUAGUAACUCACUUACAGAUACACAGAAAUAUUACUAUAGUGUAGAGUUGGAAUAAUUUCUGUGGUCUUCAUGGUUGCGGAAGGAGAGUUGGAAGAGACCGAGACUCAAGCAUUGUGUGGUGAGGGGAAAUGUGGAUCUUACUCACAUGACAUCUCCUCUAGCUCCAGAUUUGCAGAAGUCACAGAAACCUGAGGUUAUUCUUUCUGUUGAAGCAGACCUAUCUAGUGAAUGUCUGCCUUCUGUGGGGACAGAAGCCACAAAUAUGGCUUGCACAGUUUGAGUAGCCUGUAAUAUUUUGGCCAGACCCUAGGGUAGUGGAGAAUUAAUUAUGGUGGCACCAGGAUCACAAUCUUGGAGAGCUCCUAUUAAAAGGAACAAACCUGCUCAGUGGGCUGGUUUUUCUAAAUUCUCAAUGCUAGCUCAGUACCUGUGUCCAUAGCUUUUGAUUUUGAAAGAAGAGAAUUCAUUAUUUGAUCUGAUAGUGCAGUGUUGCUGGUAGUGUCAUAACAUCUUGUUCUAGCUGAGUUAGAGCUUUUUCUUUUAUGUCCCUUUUAUCACUCUUCAGUGAUCUUUCCCUGAGCUGUGAAGUACAGUCAGUAAAAUGCUCUGGGUCAUGCAGUAUCAGCUGUCAGUACUACCGUGAGCUGCUGGUGCCUGCUGAUUCCCAAUUUUUUCUGUGGUAAAUUCUAUGCACUCAAUCUCUUUUGGUUUAAGAUAGUUUUGGCAGAAGUAAACAAAGCAGAUCUUAAUAGCUGGAGACCAAAGUCAUCAGGACAAGUUAUUCUGGUUAUAUCCAUGCUACCCCACUGACUUUAUCAGGGUUGGAGAGGUGCAGAUGAACCACAGUUUGAGAGGGUAAAGUUAUUGAAAUCAGAAUAUUAAACAAAGGAAAAGACAUGUAAGGGAAUUGUAUUGUAUACACUAGAGGACAGUAUAUUUGAGCAGACAGACAGUAUAUUUGUGCAGACAGCUAUUUAAACUCUGGCUGUGAUACCCUUAGGUAUAUGGGGCAAAGGGGAAGAGAGACAAACAGGCUGAAUAACAGAGAGAGAGAGAGAGAGCGCACACAUGCACAUGAGAACCUUAGUGAGAAGAACACAAAUGUAGAAAACACUAUAUGGCAUUACUAUAACUGUUCUAAAGUUCCCCAUCAGACCAAAUAUUUAGCAUUUCAGCCCCAUUAGAAAAAUGUUCAGAAAAGUAUGAGCUUGUGAAAAUAGGAUGAGACUGGGACUCUAUCUCUAGGCUUAACAGCAGUAUUGGUGGAGUGAUCUAAUAUAAAAUAACACCAUGUAGAUAGCUUGGCUUCACACAUACUGGUCCCACUUCUGGGCUGCACCCAAACUUUAGUUCCCAGCAAAGCAGCAUUGUGAUGAAGAGAGUAACAGCUCUGCCAGCUAUUUCCUGUUACAGUGCCCCCUACAUAUGGUGCUGUAGACAGAGUUUAUGCCUAAAAUUGACCCUGUGGAUGGGGCGGUGUCCUGCUGCUCCCUGUUGAGUCUCCUGUUGAGAGCAACUUGCUUUUUCCUCUUCUAGUACAAGAUGUUCUUUUCCUGUGGACUACUCCCUUGCCUCAAGCCAAAGAGGACCUAGCAGUCACCUUUACACUGGGGCAGCUGAUCUCAUCACUUUGAGGCAUCUUGAGGCUUUCUACCUAAUUUAUACCCCAGAACACAGGCUGGUAUUAUAAAACCAUGAUAUGCAAGAUCCUUCCUUGCCUCCCAUUCCUGGAAGAAUAGAAAGAAUCUUGCACACCCCAAAAUUUUACAUCCCCUGGUGCGUCAAUUGUGAGGAAGCCUCAGCCAUUUCAAUUUUUAAGCAGCAAGAUAAAUGAGCCUACCAAAAGGUGUACUGCCGGUCGUAGAUUAAAGCUAUGGGUGGCCGGGUUCUAACAAUAUUUUGGGGCACUCUUGUGCGGAGUGUUGGACUUAGUCUUCCUGCCCAGGCAGAUUGAUUCUUUCAGUCCUCCCUGACUUCCAGCUCUGCCCCUCCUCUGUUCUUGCUGGAAUUGCUGGAAACACUCAGCUGUGAACAGCACCAUGUCCUGCUGGGCUGCCUUUGACUCACUGUUAUUUUUACACUCCCUCUUAAUGCAGGAGCUUUAAUUCCUCCUAAGUCCCUCUGCCCAAAGAGUAGAGCACAUAAAUAUCUUGGUAAUCAAACUCAAAGUAGUAUAUAGCAAUUUGAUGAGGCUUUGGUAACAUUCAGUGAUGCUUUAUAAAGUUUACUCAAACCAUUGAUUUA